rnacentral:rRNA from 1 species
AACGAACGCUGGCGGCAUGCCUAACACAUGCAAGUCGAACGAAGGCUUCGGCCUUAGUGGCGCACGGGUGCGUAACGCGUGGGAAUCUGCCCUUUGCUUCGGAAUAACAGUUAGAAAUGACUGCUAAUACCGGAUGAUGUCGCAAGACCAAAGAUUUAUCGGCAAAGGAUGAGCCCGCGUAGGAUUAGCUAGUUGGUGGGGUAAAGGCCUACCAAGGCGACGAUCCUUAGCUGGUCUGAGAGGAUGAUCAGCCACACUGGGACUGAGACACGGCCCAGACUCCUACGGGAGGCAGCAGUGGGGAAUAUUGGACAAUGGGCGAAAGCAUGAUCCAGCAAUGCCGCGUGAGUGAUGAAGGCCUUAGGGUUGUAAAGCUCUUUUACCCGGGAUGAUAAUGACAGUACCGGGAGAAUAAGCUCCGGCUAACUCCGUG